rnacentral:rRNA from 1 species
AAAUUAAAUUAAAUUAAAUUAAAUUAAAUUAAAUUAAAUUAAAUUAUUAUAAUAAGAAAUCAUGGCCAAUUUCUUCUUACUCCUUUCCCUUAUCGUUGGAUUGUU